UCCCGGGUGGUCCAGUGGCUAAGACUCUGCACUCCCAAUGCAGGGGUCCUGGGUUCGAUCCCUGGUGGGGAA
rnacentral:tRNA from 1 species